GGCUCGAGCGCACCAGCGCGCCUGCUCUUACGUCAAUGCAUUCCAGCUCAGCCGCGCGAGCGCUCCCCAACAGUGUGAGAAGCCAAAAGUGUCAAAAAUGUCUAGACGCUAAAAUAACAGCUGACAUGGUUUCCGUCAAUUAUCACUUAAUAGGCAGAGCCAGAAGAAGGUUGUCUGCUAGAUCUCGGAGCAUGUGGGGAACUGCUCAUUCAGCUGAUCGAGUGAGGACACCCUCCUUCCACCAGUCCAUCCAUUCAUGCAUUUUCUGUACCACUUUGGCCUAUCCCAGGGGACGAUGGGCACACGGCACCCAGGACAUUACAAAGUGAAGGAGUUCAACUUCACCACACAGUGGUGUUGAGGUCAGAGCUCUGUGCAGGACACUCCAGCCUUGGCAAACUUCUUUAUGGAGUUUGCUCUGUGCACAGUUUUGUGCAUCUUAAUUCCAGUGAAGGGAAACAUACACAGACAUUCUAUACAAUUGAACAACAUUUGGGCGUGAUGGUCAGGUGUCCAUAAACUUUUCAGUCACAGGAUUUUUUUGGUCCAUGUCAACAAAUAUGUGUUCUCCUGAUAUCUCAUACUCAAGCUCUCAUUAGGAGGAAGCAUAAAGUACAUGUCUUUGAGGGUAGUAAAUAUCGGCUAAUAAGCUCAAGUGCUUUAUCUUAGUCUUAGUUAAAUAGCCUUAAUUUGUCACGUUUACAUUACUGCACAGUGAAAUUCUUUCUUCACAUAUUCCAUCCUUGGAGGUUUGGGGUCAGAACGCAGGGUCAGCCAUGAUACAGCACCCCUGGAGCAGGGGCUUGAACCCCGAUCUUCUGACCAACGACCCACCGGAACACUGGGUAUGAGACUGGAAUACACCUUGAAUGGGAUGUUAGUCUGUGGGAUGCUCCAUGCACACACACACACACACA